UACGGAGGGUGCAAGCGUUGUCCGGAUUUAUUGGGUUUAAAGGGUGCGUAGGUGGCCUGUUAAGUCCGGGGUGAAAGCCCACAGCUCAACUGUGGAACUGCCCUGGAUACUGGCGGGCUUGAGAGUAGUAGAGGGUGGCGGAAUAGAUGCUGUAGCGGUGAAAUGCAUAGAUAGCAUCUAGAACCCCCGAUUGCGAAGCAG
rnacentral:rRNA from 1 species